AGUGAACGCUGGCGGUAGGCCUAACACAUGCAAGUCGAACGGCAGCACAGUAAGAGCUUGCUCUUACGGGUGGCGAGUGGCGGACGGGUGAGGAAUACAUCGGAAUCUACUUUUUCGUGGGGGAUAACGUAGGGAAACUUACGCUAAUACCGCAUACGACCUACGGGUGAAAGCAGGGGAUCUUCGGACCUUGCGCGAUUGAAUGAGCCGAUGUCGGAUUAGCUAGUUGGCGGUGUAAAGGCCCACCAAGGCGACGAUCCGUAGCUGGUCUGAGAGGAUGAUCAGCCACACUGGAACUGAGACACGGUCCAGACUCCUACGGGAGGCAGCAGUGGGGAAUAUUGGACAAUGGGCGCAAGCCUGAUCCAGCCAUACCGCGUGGGUGAAGAAGGCCUUCGGGUUGUAAAGCCCUUUUGUUGGGAAAGAAAAGCAGCAGGUUAAUACCCCGCUGUUCUGACGGUACCCAAAGAAUAAGCACCGGCUAACUUCGUG
rnacentral:rRNA from 1 species